rnacentral:rRNA from 1 species
GUGAGGAAUUUUCCGCAAUGGGCGAAAGCCUGACGGAGCAAUGCCGCGUGAAGGAUGAAGGCCUAUGGGUUGUAAACUUCUUUUCUCAGAAAAGAAUUAUGACGGUAUCUGAGGAAUAAGCAUCGGCUAACUUCGUGCCAGCAGCCGCGGUAAGACGAGGGAUCCUAGCGUUGCUCGGAAUCAUUGGGCGUAAAGAGGGCGUAGGUGGCUUGGUAAGUCAGGUGUGAAAGCCCAGGGCUCAACCCUGGAAGUGCAUUUGAUACUGCUGAGCUUGAGUGUCGGAGAGGUUACCGGAAUACCUGGUGUAGUGGUGAAAUACGUAGAUAUCAGGUGGAACACCGGAGGCGAAGGCGGGUAACUGGACGAACACUGACACUGAGGCCCGAAAGCGUGGGGAUCAAACAGGAUUAGAUACCCCAGUAGUCC